UCACCUCUGAAGAGCUACGUUCUAAUGCUCUGUGUCUGCAGAAGAAAUACCACACAGAUUUGCAAGACGACUUCCCUGAUGAAAUUGCCCAAUUCAAAGACUUUACAAAAAAUGAGGAAAACAAAAGUGUUGUUGCCUUGCUUCAGCUCCUGAGAAAAAGUUUUUAAGCUACUUCCGUAUUGUUAGAAAGAUGCCCUUUUUUUCCUCAUUAGUUGUUUUCCUAAACAACAGCUGACUUUGAUGUCCCUGGAAAGUGACAUUCUCCUGCAGUAGCUCAUAGCCCCAGGGCCCAGUGAGGUCUUAAUGUGGCCCUGAUUGGCCCCCAUUCACAUCCAGCCAGACUUCUCAUAACAUUCAGGAAUUUUUCACUCCUUUCCACAAUCUUACCUACAUGCACCACCCAAGUCAUACACUCUUCAAACCAAACACCUAAAAAUGUAAAAGCCUUUACCUUCUCCAAUGGAGACCCAUACAUAUACAGCCCUAUAUUUUUUAUUUAAAUUUAUUUAAAUCCCCAUGUAUUACCCCAUUGCUCUACCAACACUAACAUUCUUUGAAUCUGAUUUAAAACAAACGUUACAUUACGCCCUUUUUUCCAAAUGGCCCCAUCAUCUGCAAAUAAAGAAAGCCCGAAUCCUCUUUCUAUUUUACCAAAGAUAUCAUUAAUCAUUAUAUUAAAUAGCACCGGACUGAUAACACUUCCCUGUGGAGUUCCAUUCUCUAUUUUCACAACCUUUGAAAAUAAACAUUCUUCUACUAACUCCUAAAUCAAAAAUUUUAACCAUUAACCCUUUCACACGUGAGUUUAAAAUAUUUCAUCUGAGCCUCCAGGGUGAGUUUUUUAGGCGACCAUUAUUUUAGAAUGUACGGCCUUAUUGUUUCCAUGGCGACGCGUCGUGUUUGUCACAUGACACAUCGCAGCCACAAUAGCACUGUAUGACACAUGUAUCACUUUUAUAUAGUUUUUCCCUUUUUAUUAUUAAUAUUAACACAAAUGUGCUCACCAGUGCGAAAACCAGUCAGUAUCUGGUGUGACCACCAUUUGCCUCACAUGUCUGGUCAAUAUGCUGGCCAUGCAAGAACUGGGAUGUUUUCAGCUUCCAGGAAUUCUGUACAGAUCCUUGCAACAUGGGGCUGUGCAUUAUCAUGCUGCCUCAGUUCUUGGGAAACUUGUGAAUGUACAAAAUCAAAAUUGCAACAUAGCAAGAAACUCAGAAUUCCCCCCAGCUUUUUUAAAAUUGCACUGGAAACAGUAAACCAAACCAGUGGUUAUUACAAAUAAGUGAUUUUAACCAUUUUAAUUUCUGUACACCAUUCAUAAUGUCAAAAUCAAUCGCUUGAACCCCCCAUCUUCAUACUUUUUAAUACCAUCUUUUCUUAUGUACUGACAUUUAUUUCUCCAAAUAAAUUUAAAAUUCAUCUUAUUUACUGCUUUAAAGGGGUCAUCGGAUGCUAAGUUCACUUUUUCAUGUUGUUUGAACAUUAAUGUGUGUUGGCAGUGUAUGUACAAAUCUACCCUGUAAUGAUAAAAUCCAUGCAGUGGUUUUUAAUUAAUCUGUAAAUAAUAUCCCCUUUUUCAAAUCAAGCCAUUCUCAGAUGCCUGUUGUUGUGCCGUCACACCAACAGAGGCCGCUCCCACGAUAGUUGAUUGUCAUAAGUAUCUUACCUCAGAUCAGCUGUCACAGUCCAUUAACUUUCCUUGUUUUGAUGCCAGAGCAGGGAUGUAAGUUAGACAAGAAUAUCUCCGAUUGAGCGAUUUAAGGUUGUAGCAAUUUAGCUCAAAGGGAAAUGUAUGUAAAUAAUUAUAAUUAAUUAUAAUUAAUUACAAUUAUUUAUAUCAGCUGCCAGUAGUAACUGUAGCAGAAUUAAUUUUCCAUCAACUAAUCUGUUCGUCCAGCGAACAUUCAGUAAAAUUUUUAUAUCAACUCUUAGAAAUGAUAUUUUCUUGGCCACAGAAAAUAACUUUCUGAAAGUACUGUUGCAUUAGAGCAUGUAGCUCGAAUCGGAAUCUUAAAGGGACAUUCAUUUACAAGGCAGAAUCAGAAUCAAUACUCAUGUAAUUUGUGCACAAGAGUUUAUUAACGAAGGACUAACACAUAACUAAUCUAAACAAACAAACAAACAAACAUGAAAUCACUUAUACAUGGGAGAAGGGUCAGUGAGAAGCAGGUAGAGAGAGACAAGGAAAUGAAGCUAUGAAAAGAGUCAGUUAACCACCUGAGUAAAUCCAUCAGUGCUGUCUACAGCUUAUACCAAACCGAAUGCAGUCUCGGGUGAAAGUCUUGAUGGUCGGAGCAGUGGUGGUUUUGGAAUCGCGAUCACGUUCUUCUGGGUUCGAAGAGUGAUGAAUUCCAAAGAUGUUCUGACUCGAUGGUGACUGGGAGUUUCUACCCAUGUGAAAUGUGAAGAAGAACCAAGAGCUGAGAGGGACCCAGCUGAAGUCCUGUGAUCUUUGGGGAAUGGAAAGACAAGGCCGCAAGGCCUGGCGCACGCUUAGGGAAGCCCUGAAGAGUUCUAGCUCAUCUUCUUAGGUUCUAAAAGAACCCCUUAAUGACUGAGGUGAGUAAUGUAGAUGAAUUCCAGGGUUGAGUGAAAAUGUCUGGCUCUGUGAUCGAGAGCCACAGCUCUGUAUGUUGGGGCCUGUCGGGCCCGCCAGGCACGCCUUGUGCCGGCUCAGGCUCCCCGUGGGUUCCUUCACACGGGCAGCAAUUGGAAGAUGUUGCAGAAGAAGAAGAGAGUGAAGACAAGAGAUUGAGGCGAUCAAUCGUUUGAUGCCUUUAAGCUCUCUGGAGGCUGCGCCUCCAAGAGGUCCACGAACCAAUGGUAACGUUCACCUUUGGAGGGAAAGUUUACGACUCUUUGUCUGUGAGCAUGGUAUCUUGCAUAUGUAAUUCGAAUGGGUGUUGAUGCAAAAACUACUAAGGAUUAUUAAAGCACUGAUAUGUUGCAAAGGUAUCAACAUAUAAUAUACACCAUCUAGAUGAUCAAAAUACGAAUUCAAAGAGACCAAACAUGGCAUAGGUGGGUUAUAUGACUAGUCAUCUAUCAUAACACAUGCAUAAAACAGUAGAAAGACAAGUACAAAUACAACAGACAAAAUUAAAAUACAAUGCAGUAAUACUGGACACAAUGAUCUGAGCUAUGUGUGAUAGGAAGGUCAAAGAAAGGUUUGUCUGUGAAUGAAAAGGAAAGAGUCUAUUUCUGUAGGCAUUGUGUCUUUCCUAUGGGCAAAUGUAGCAUGGGCAAAUGUGCAUUACUUGAAGCAAUAAAACCUCUUAUCAGAUGGUCGUCCUGGCAACUGAGCCCUUUUUGGGGUGUUAGUUGCUUUGGGGAGUUGUCUCCAGAGCUCCAGCAUAUAGCUGGCUUGUUGGGUUUAAAGACUAUUUGUUUAAUGUAACAAUUAAUGUAUGUCUGAUUGGUCCAGAUGCUACAAGGUGUUGUGUUGCUGGAUGUAAUAAUGAACAUAGUGGUCGUCAUUUACUCCCGACAUCUGAGGCACUGAAGAUGCAGUAAAUUACGUUUGUUUGUGAAUAAAAUGCACCUCCUGAUCUACAUAUUUCGGGCUCACACAAACCAUUCGUGAUCCAGCUUCACUUACAGCAGAAGUGUGUAUAAGUGUUUUUUAAUGAGUCUUUGCGAUCGCCUUUCCUUAUAAUGUGGUAGUUAGGAAGUUUAGCGGCGAAAUGCGGCUAAAUGCAGCUAAAGUAAACAAGACCGUCAUUCCACAGAGAGAAGAGAGGGGCGGGGUGAGCAGAGCUCAUUUGCAUUUAAAGGAACAACCCCUUAGAAUGAGAUGAUUUUUGCAGAGCUGAUUUUGAAAAGGUAAAAAAGGGUGUUGUUUUACAUAACCAUUGAGAAUUUUUAAUGAAAGUACAUUAGAGACUUAACAUUAAGACCCUAAAGAAUCAUAUCAACUUGUGGAAAAUGAGCAUCCGAUGACCCCUUUAAUCAUUUGUGUUGAUAUGGGUAAGGAAAAGGCUGGGUAGAUGAGUCUGGACAGACUUUCCAUUUUAAACAAAAGAACCCUUCCAAAGAUUGUAAGAUCCCUCUGCAACCAUCAGUUCAAUAUUGAUUUGCAUUUAUCUAUGUUAUUCUAUACAUUUUUAUUUUCCAUGAUUUCUCUCUCAAAACACCAUUUCACAUUUCUUUAGAUUCAGAUGAAGCCCAGAAGCUUUAGAAAACAGAUUAACAGAAUGUAAAGCUAGAGGAACUUGUUGUUCAUUUUUUAAAAACAAUGUUGUGUCAUCAGCGAACUGAUUUAUUAUUAUUUGCCUGUCCAACACUGUUAACCCUUCAAUAUCAUUAUUUUUAAUCAAUAUUGAUAAUAGCUCAGCGACCAUUAUAAACAGGAAUGGAGAGCUACAUCAACCUAAUUGGAAAUCUUGUGCAAGUUCCAUGACCUAAAGCUACAGAGCUAUUUACAUUCUUAUAUAACAUGUCAGUUAAAUUUAUAAAUCUUGCUCCAAAACCAAAAUGCAUCAAUGUUUUCAAAAUAAAUGGAUGCUCCACUGCAUCAAAUGCUUUAAAGAAAUCUAAAAAAAAAUAAGAAAUCCAUCUCCCUGAACCACUUCACUAUAAUCGAAUAAAUAUAAAACCAAUCUAACAUUGUUAUGGAUUGACCUUCCUUCCAAAAAGCCUGACUAUGUCUCAGUAAUUAUGGUAGAAAUGCUUUUUUUUAGCUCCAGGGAUAGCUCCAGAGAAAAUGUGCAGUGUUGGGGGUGCUGACAGUAGAGGUCUUCACGGGUCCAAAAAUUCGUAACCGAACCCGAAGAGACCCGUAAAUUUGUUGCACGGAACCGACCCGGACCUGUAUUUAAUUUGAAAGUGGGACCCGAGCCCAUGCAGACCCUAGAAAUGCCUUAAAUUUACUACCCGGACCUGACGUGGACACAGACCCGACUGCACCCAGUCAGCACAUAUUGCACAGCAAACCGCUAUUAACAAGUCAAUAAACAAGUUGUAAAAAAUUAUUUUUGGCUUACCUACUGUUAGUAGUCCUGACCAGGGGCGUUUCUAGGAUUUGAAAACAUCUGGGGCUGGUGGCAAAACAUCAGGGGCUAGUAGUGGUGGAUGGGAGCUCACAUCAUAAUUACAUAAGAUUUUGUUAGACACAGGUAGAUGAACCUCGAUCCUUCUAGGGAGGUCUGGGGGUUUAAAGUUAAAUUCAUUAAUCUGGUGCACUUUGAUAUCAAAUAAGAGCUAUAAGUUAACCCAUCUUCAGUGUGCAAAUUGGAAAAAAAAAAAAAAAAAGGUUGAUGAU